AAUUUUCUCAACUUUUUCCGCUCCGAAUCACUCUUGUUCUCCCUCAGUUUCAUUACCCUCAUAUUCUCCCUCCCUCUCCCUCUUUCUCUCUCAGUCUCUCACUCUUUCUCUUCCUUUCCCCGCCCCGUCUCACUCUUACUCCCUCUAUUUUCAUUUCUCCCGCUUCCUAAACCAAUCUGUGUUAUUUUCUCUUUUUCUUCUCCGUUUCCUCCUUUCACUUUUCACCUCUUUACUAUCUUUCUCUGCCUUACUCCCCUUUCUCUCCUCUCUGUCUGUCUGGCUCUCUUCUUAAUACUGCACCACUGCCUUCCUCCUCCCCCUCCUCAUUUCCCACUACAACUGCCCCACCGAUUCUUCUGUCGCUAGGAUUUUACUGUCAAACCUCAUACAGUUAGUGUAAGAUCUGCUGUAUCCAAACAACUCCAUUCUAGCCGAACCAAUUCAUUUCUUCUCCAGGCAGUCACCACAGGAAAACAUCAUAACUGCACAACAUCUGGGACAUUCCUCAGAGAAGAAAACUUUUAUCAUAAGAUUAAAACCAAUGAUUAUCUGAACUGUCAACAUUCCAUAUGGCUGCUAAGAAGAAAGAUGAUAUUCAAGAUUCAGCAUAUUACAGGCGGAACUGUCAGACAACCUAUGGAUGGUAUGGUUCACCUGGUUCAAAUUCUUUAGGCCGUUCUGGACGUUCAUCUCGACGAACCUGUGACCGGUUCAAUGAAAGAAAGUUACCCCGUCCGGAAUCAUCAAAUUAUAUUUAUGAAGGAGGACUUUUCUCAACACCAUCUUCACCCCGACGAGAUUAUUUUGUAAUACACCCUGAAUGGGUAUCUGAGGGAGCAACUCAUAUAAGACUGAGCAGAGACAAGAAAAACCGAACUGGUACUUGGCCAGGCCGGCGUUGUCGUAGUGCCCCACCCCCAAGUUAUCGGAAUCCAAUAACUUGGGAACCAAAUUAAUGUCAAGUGUGAUAAUAGCAAAUGUCUUUGGAUUCUUUUUUUUAAAUGUUUUUUUUUUAAAUUUGUUUCUUUUGCGAAAAAGAAAACAAAACGGAAAAAAAAAAGAAAAUUAAGGCUGAGCUUCUAAGAAAGAGUGGAGUUAAACAAAUAUAUACAACAUGACUUGUAAGAAAAGUGUAAGGUAACGUCAAAUACACACAACAUAAAUUGUAAGAAAGAAUGGAAAAUGUAAACUAUAUAGAUUUUUUUUUAAUUUCAAGAAUUAGAAUAUAAAAAAAUAUGUCAUACAAACUUUACUACAUCUGUGACAAAUAGUAAUAGCAAAGCUAAUAUAAAAUUUAUGAUAGAUCUUUUACAGACACGACUAUGAAUCUGUACCUGAUAUGCAUACAAAUUUACACAUCAAGCUAUUCCUCAUAAAUAUAUACAUAUCUAUACAUGCAUGCAUACAAACAAACACACACACACACGUGUGUGUGUAUAUAUAUGUAUAUAUCAUAUAUAUGUAUAUAUUUAUAUACAUUCAUAUAUAUAUAUAUAUAUAUAUAUAUAUAUAUAUAUAUAUAUAUAUAUACACAUAUACACACACACACAUACACACACACACACACACAUAUAUAUAUAUAUAUACACAUUGAUAUAUAUAUAAAUAUAUAUAUGUAUAUAUUUAUAUAUAUAUAUAUAUAUAUAUAGUAUAAAUAAUAUAUAUAUAUAUGCAUAUAUACAUACGUAUAUGUACAC